UGUGUGUGUGUGUGUGUGUGUAUAUAAUUCCUCCAAAUGCUGGAGAGGUUGUCAAAAAAAAAAGUCAUUUUUUCACUUGUGGUCGUGUGAUAAAGUUACACCCUUCUGGCAAAAGUUUUUUUGGAGAGGCUCUCCUUCUCCUUCUUAAAUUAUAAUUGCCAUAGAAGAACUCUGUUUCUGAGACAGACAGGAUGUGUUGUAAAUUGUGGUGAGACAGUCCUGGACUAAACUUUCACAAGUUGUGAUCCAAGAAGGCUUCUGAACCCACAGCUUCCUCUAUGAAGGAUAAAACCGUGAUCGUCAGUAUUUCUUGUUAUCCAGACUAUUCAACCAUGUUAACUGGAAUAAUGGUGGUUGGUCCAGUGCUUCUUGAUUGCCACUAUUUGGGAAGAUUGUGUUGCAGAUAGGUCAGAUUCUUAAGAUGCUUCAUCAAAAUUUCCAGAUGUGUAUACAUUGUCCAGUGGAUCUAGUGGGGCCUGAAAUUUAUGGGUGCCUGAGCCAAAUUCCACUCAACCAGACAUUCACCAGCUCUCUUCUCUUGGGUCUCUCUCAUACGACUUCAGCCUAAUUUCUACAACAGUAAUGUUAAUCAUCUCCCGUCUCUUUUCUAUCUGCAAGUAGGAUUAAUCUGUAAUUUGGAGAAAAGUCUUGUACUGAUGCUUUAUUUGUGUGUAUGUGGGAAUUUCAAAAGGGCUAUUGCAUUUGGGCUGCAAAAAUUUAUUUGAUCACUGCAUAGCAGCAUAGGAGUGUUCCUUUAUUUUCUUGCUGCCAUGUAGUGAAUGCCCAGAUGUUUGCAACACAGAGACCAGAGUUUUAAAUUUAAAGGCAGUAAAAUAGAUAUAAAUUAAAUAA